CCUACGGGUGGCAGCAGUGGGGAAUAUUGGGCAAUGGGCGCAAGCCUGACCCAGCAACGCCGCGUGAAGGAAGAAGGCUUUCGGGUCGUAAACUUCUUUGAAGAGGGAAGAGCAGAAGACGGUACCUUUUGAAUAAGCUUCGGCUAACUACGGGCCAGCAGCCGCGGUAAUACGUAGGGAGCGAGCGUUGUCCGGAUUUACUGGGUGUAAAGGGCGUGCAGCCGGGAGUAAAAGUCAGUUGUGAAAUCCCGGGGCUCAACCGCGGAACUGCAUUUGACACUGUAUUUCGUGAGUGCUGGAGAGGCAGACGGAAUUCCUAGUGUAGCGGUGAAAUGCGUAGAUAUUAGGAGGAACACCAGUGGCGAAGGCGGUCUGCUGGACAGCGACUGACGGUGAGGCGCGAAAGCGUGGGGAGCAAACAGGAUUAGAUACCCCAGUAGUC
rnacentral:rRNA from 1 species